rnacentral:rRNA from 1 species
UAGCAAGUCGAGGGACAGCACAGGUAGCAAUACUGGGUGGUAACCGGCAAACGGGUGCGGAACACGUACACGACCUUCCUUUAAGUGGGGGAUAGCCCAGAGAAAUUUGGAUUAAUACCCCGUAACACAGUGAGUUGGCAUCAACUUAUUGUUAUAGCUACGGCGCUUGAUGAUGGGUGUGCGGCUGAUUAGAUAGUUGGCGAGGUAACGGCUCACCAAGUCUACGAUCAGUAGCUGAUGUGAGAGCAUGAUCAGCCACACGGGCACUGAGACACGGGCCCGACUCCUACGGGAGGCAGCAGUAAGGAAUAUUGGUCAAUGGACGCAAGUCUGAACCAGCCAUGCCGCGUGAAGGAUUAAGGUCCUCUGGAUUGUAAACUUCUUUUAUUUGGGACGAAAAGGGUCUUUCUAGAUCAACUGACGGUACCAGAUGAAUAAGCACCGGCUAACUACGUG